rnacentral:lncRNA from 1 species
ACGGGGAUUGAGAAGGAUCCUGUAGAAGAUUACGCGCAACGUGUAUGGUUCGAAGCCCCUGAUGAGAAGUAUGAGUGUGAGUUUGACAUGCCUGAAGACUUUGGAACCAUUGGUGCCAUCAGAGUUCAAAACCAGUACCAUAGACAGUUGUUCCUCAAGAAGAUGGAGAUUGAGUUACCUGACGGGACUGUUACGUUUACAUGUGAAUCAUGGGUGGCCUCUAAGACUGUUGACCCAGCCAAGAGGGUAUUCUUCUCCACCAAGUCCUACUUGCCAUCCGAAACCCCGGAGCCUCUUAUACAGCUUCGAAAGAAAGAGCUAGAGACUUUAAAAGGCAACGACCGCGAAGAAGAUGGUGAAUUCACCAAGUUCGAACGCGUCUACGACUACGACGUGUACAACGAUGUUGGUGACCCUGACAAUAACCCUGAGCUUGCUCGUCCCGUCAUUGGAGGCCCGGCACAUCCUUAUCCAAGGCGUUGCAAGACUGGUCGCAAACCAUGUAAAACUGACCCGGCCACAGAGCAACGAUACGGG